GAUGAACGCUGGCGGCGUGCCUAACACAUGCAAGUCGAGCGAACCCUUCGGGGUGAGCGGCGGACGGGUGAGUAACGCGUGGGUAACCUGCCCUGUACACACGGAUAACAUACCGAAAGGUAUGCUAAUACGGGAUAACAUAUGAGAGUCGCAUGGCUUUUGUAUCAAAGCUCCGGCGGUACAGGAUGGACCCGCGUCUGAUUAGCUAGUUGGUAAGGUAACGGCUUACCAAGGCAACGAUCAGUAGCCGACCUGAGAGGGUGAUCGGCCACAUUGGAACUGAGACACGGUCCAAACUCCUACGGGAGGCAGCAGUGGGGAAUAUUGCACAAUGGGCGAAAGCCUGAUGCAGCAACGCCGCGUGAGCGAUGAAGGCCUUCGCGGUCGUAAAGCUCUGUCCUCAAGGAAGAUAAUGACGGUACUUGAGGAGGAAGCCCCGGCUAACUACGUGCCAGCAGCCGCGGUAAUACGUAGGGGGCUAGCGUUAUCCGGAAAUUACUGGGCGUAAAGGGUGCGUAGGCGGUCUUUCAAGCCAGAAGUGAAAGGGCUACGGCUCAACCGUAGUAAGCUUUUGGAACUGUAGGACUUGAGUGCAGGAGAGGAGAGUGGAAUUCCUAGUGUAGCGGUGAAAUGCGUAGAUAUUAGGAGGAACACCAGUAGCGAAGGCGGCUCUCUGGACUGUAACUGACGCUGAGGCACGAAAGCGUGGGGAGCAAACAGGAUUAGAUACCCUGGUAGUCCACGCCGUAAACGAUGAGUACUAGGUGUCGGGGGUUACCCCCCUCGGUGCCGCAGCUAACGCAUUAAGUACUCCGCCUGGGAAGUACGCUCGCAAGAGUGAAACUCAAAAGGAAUUGACGGGGGCCCGCACAAGUAGCGGAGCAUGUGGUUUAAUUCGAAGCAACGCGAAGAACCUUACCUAAGCUUGACAUCCCAUUGACCUCUCCCUAAUCGGAGAUUUCCCUUCGGGGACAAUGGUGACAGGUGGUGCAUGGUUGUCGUCAGCUCGUGUCGUGAGAUGUUGGGUUAAGUCCCGCAACGAGCGCAACCCUUGCCUUUAGUUGCCAGCAUUAAGUUGGGCACUCUAGAGGGACUGCCGAGGAUAACUCGGAGGAAGGUGGGGAUGACGUCAAAUCAUCAUGCCCCUUAUGCUUAGGGCUACACACGUGCUACAAUGGGUGGUACAGAGGGUUGCCAAGCCGUGAGGUGGAGCUAAUCCCUUAAAGCCAUUCUCAGCUCGGAUUGUAGGCUGAAACUCGCCUACAUGAAGCUGGAGUUACUAGUAAUCGCAGAUCAGAAUGCUGCGGUGAAUGCGUUCCCGGGUCU
rnacentral:rRNA from 1 species